rnacentral:rRNA from 1 species
CAGCAGCCACGGGAAUACGGAGGGUGCAAGCGUUAAUCGGAAUUACUGGGCGUAAAGCGCACGCAGGCGGUUUGUUAAGUCAGAUGUGAAAUCCCCGGGCUCAACCUGGGAACUGCAUUUGAAACUGGCAAGCUAGAGUCUCGUAGAGGGGGGUAGAAUUCCAGGUGUAGCGGUGAAAUGCGUAGAGAUCUGGAGGAAUACCGGUGGCGAAGGCGGCCCCCUGGACGAAGACUGACGCUCAGGUGCGAAAGCGUGGGGAGCAAACAGGAUUAGAUACCCCGGUAGUCCCUGUCUCUUAUAC